rnacentral:ncRNA from 1 species
AUUAUGUAUCAGCAAAACAGGUGAAAGCCUGUGACGCAAAGCUAUAGGGUCUUUGAAAUGACAGCCAGUUGCAAGA